UAGGGAAUUUUCCGCAAUGGACGCAAGUCUGACGGAGCAACGCCGCGUGAGUGAAGAAGGAUUUCGGUUCGUAAAACUCUGUUGUUAGAGAAGAACAGCGCAUAGAGUAACUGUUAUGCGUGUGACGGUAUCUAACCAGAAAGCCACGUCUAACUACUUGCCAGCAGCCGCGGUAAUACGUAGGUGGCAAGCGUUGUCCGGAUUUAUUGGGCGUAAAGCGAGCGCAGGCGGUCAAUUAAGUCUGAUGUGAAAGCCCCCGGCUCAACCGGGGAGGGUCAUUGGAAACUGGUUGACUUGAGUGCAGAAGAGGAGAGUGGAAUUCCAUGUGUAGCGGUGAAAUGCGUAGAUAUAUGGAGGAACACCAGUGGCGAAGGCGACUCUCUGGUCUGUAACUGACGCUGAGGUUCGAAAGCGUGGGUAGCAAACAGG
rnacentral:rRNA from 1 species